UGCAUCGGCCGGGAAUCGAACCUGGGCCGUCCGCGUGGCAGGCGAGCAUUCUACCACUGGACCACCGAUGC